CUACGGGGGGCAGCAGUGAGGAAUAUUGCACAAUGGGGGGAACCCUGAUGCAGCAACGCCGCGUGGAGGAUGACGCAUUUCGGUGUGUAAACUCCUUUUAUAUGUCAAGAAAAUGACGGUAGCAUAUGAAUAAGCACCGGCUAACUCCGUGCCAGCAGCCGCGGUGAAUACGGAGGGUGCAAGCGUUACUCGGAAUCACUGGGCGUAAAGGACGCGUAGGCGGGUUGGAAAGUCAGGUGUGAAAUCCUACAGCUUAACUGUAGAACUGCACUUGAAACUUCUAAUCUAGAGUAUGGGAGGGGGAGAUGGAAUUAGUGGUGUAGGGGUAAAAUUCGUAGAUAUCACUAGGAAUACCUAAAGCGAAGGCGAUCUCCUGGAACAUUACUGACGCUAAGGCGUGAAAGCGUGGGGAGCAAACAGGAUUAGAUACCCCUGUAGUC
rnacentral:rRNA from 1 species